rnacentral:rRNA from 1 species
UACGAAGGGGGCUAGCGUUGCUCGGAAUGACUGGGCGUAAAGGGCGCGUAGGCGGUUCGGAGAGUCAGACGGGAAAUUCCCGGGCUCAACCUGGGGGCUGCGUUUGAUACGUGCGGGCUUGAGUUCGGAAGAGGGUCGUGGAAUUCCCAGUGUAGAGGUGAAAUUCGUAGAUAUUCGGAAGAACACCAGUGGCGAAGGCGACACACUGGCCCGUUACUGACGCUGAGGCGCGAAAGCGUGGGGAGCAAACAGG